rnacentral:rRNA from 1 species
AUUGAACGCUGGCGGCAUGCCUUACACAUGCAAGUCGAACGGCAGCACGGGAGCAAUCCUGGUGGCGAGUGGCGAACGGGUGAGUAAUGUAUCGGAACGUACCUUUCAGUGGGGGAUAACGUAGCGAAAGUUACGCUAAUACCGCAUAUUCUGUGAGCAGGAAAGCAGGGGAUCGCAAGACCUUGCGCUGAUUGAGCGGCCGAUAUCAGAUUAGCUAGUUGGUGAGGUAAAGGCUCACCAAGGCGACGAUCUGUAGCGGGUCUGAGAGGAUGAUCCGCCACACUGGAACUGAGACACGGUCCAGACUCCUACGGGAGGCAGCAGUGGGGAAUUUUGGACAAUGGGCGCAAGCCUGAUCCAGCCAUGCCGCGUGAGUGAAGAAGGCCUGGUUCGUAAGUACACUUCUACGUGGGUAGGAAAGGACGUAGGU